AUACGGAGGACGCGAGCGUUAUCCGGAUUCAUUGGGUUUAAAGGGUGCGCAGGCGGCCGUGCAAGUCAGCGGUGAAAGCCCGGGGCUCAACCCCGGAAGUGCCGUUGAUACUGCAUGGCUGGAAUGCGGUCGAGGCGGGCGGGAAGUGGCGUGUAGCGGUGAAAAGCGUAGAUAUGCCACAGAACGCCGAUAGCGGAGGCAGCUCGCCAGGCCUGCAUUGACGCUCGGGCACGAAAGGGCGGGGAUCGAACAGGAUUAGAUACCCUGGUAGUCCACGCCGUAAACGAUGGGCGCUCGUCGUCGGCGGCAGACAGUCGGCGGCCAAGCGAAAGCGAUAAGCGCCCCACCUGGGGAGUACGGUCGCAAGGCUGAAACUCAAAUGAAUUGACGGGG
rnacentral:rRNA from 1 species